rnacentral:sRNA from 1 species
UUCAGCGGCCUGACCGUUGAGGAAGAGCAUAUUCAAGCCGGAAAACGUUCA